GAUGAACGCUGGCGGCGUGCCUAAUACAUGCAAGUCGAGCGAACAGACGAGGAGCUUGCUCCUCUGACGUUAGCGGCGGACGGGUGAGUAACACGUGGAUAACCUACCUAUAAGACUGGGAUAACUUCGGGAAACCGGAGCUAAUACCGGAUAAUAUAUUGAACCGCAUGGUUCAAUAGUGAAAGACGGUUUUGCUGUCACUUAUAGAUGGAUCCGCGCCGCAUUAGCUAGUUGGUAAGGUAACGGCUUACCAAGGCAACGAUGCGUAGCCGACCUGAGAGGGUGAUCGUCCACACUGGAACUGAGACGCGGUCCAGACUCCUACGGGAGGCAGCAGUAGGGAAUCUUCCGCAAUGGGCGAAAGCCUGACGGAGCAACGCCACGUGAGUGAUGAAGGUCUUCGGAUCGUAAAACUCUGUUAUUAGGGAAGAACAAAUGUGUAAGUAACUAUGCACGUCUUGACGGUACCUAAUCAGAAAGCCACGGCUAACUACGUG
rnacentral:rRNA from 1 species